UACGAAGGGGGCUAGCGUUGUUCGGAAUCACUGGGCGUAAAGCGCACGUAGGCGGAUUUUUAAGUCAGGGGUGAAAUCCCGAGGCUCAACCUCGGAACUGCCUUUGAUACUGGAGAUCUUGAGUCCGGAAGAGGUAAGUGGAACUGCGAGUGUAGAGGUGAAAUACGUAGAGAUUGGGAAGAACACCAGUGGCGAAGGCGGCUAUCUGGACGGUUUCUGACGCUAAGACGCGAAAGCGUGGGGAGCAAACAGG
rnacentral:rRNA from 1 species